CAGUCAUAUUACGUUGAAACGCCGUUUCUCAUACGAUAACCGAAGUUAAGCUAUGUCGAGCCUGGUCAGUAUCUCGAUGGGUGACCGCUCGGGAAUACUAGGU